rnacentral:rRNA from 1 species
GAUGAACGCUGGCGGCGUGCCUAAUUCAUGCAAGUCGAGCGAACAGACGAGGAGCUUGCUCCUCUGACGUUAGCGGCGGACGGGUGAGUAACACGUGGAUAACCUACCUAUAAGACUGGGAUAACUUCGGGAAACCGGAGCUAAUACCGGAUAAUAUAUUGAACCGCAUGGUUCAAUAGUGAAAGACGGUUUUGCUGUCACUUAUAGAUGGAUCCGCGCCGCAUUAGCUAGUUGGUAAGGUAACGGCUUACCAAGGCAACGAUGCGUAGCCGACCUGAGAGGGUGAUCGGCCACACUGGAACUGAGACGCGGUCCAGACUCCUACGGGAGGCAGCGGUAGGGAAUCUUCCGCAAUGGGCGAAAGCCUGACGGAGCAACGCCGCGUGAGUGAUGAAGGUCUUCGGAUCGUAAAACUCUGUUAUUAGGGAAGAACAAAUGUGUAAGUAACUAUGCACGUCUUGACGGUACCUAAUCAGAAAGCCACGGCUAACUACGUG